UUACGGCCAUAUCACGUUGAAACAUCGGUUCACGCACAAAUACUGAAGGUAAGCAACAUCGAGCCUGAUCAGUACCUAGAUGGGUGACCUCUUAGGAAUACCAGGUGUUGUAAG